CGUAUAUGCGGCAUUUGAGAACAUCGCACAUUUUAAUUUUAGUCUUGUAGGAUAUAACAAACUAACUAGGCCUAUCGCAGUUAUACUGUAGUCACAAGAGAAAAACAUUGUGUCGUUUGGUAGGUCCUACACAUCUAAGCUUUAAACAUUAAUUAAUGACAACUAGUGCGUAGGUGGACACUAGUGGGAGCGACAGUGAUGAGGGAAUGUACCACAUAGCCUUCAGUUGUGACACUGGCUUGGGCAUAGGGGCUAAGUACGUUAUGUUUGGGCGUUCUCGUCUUUACCAGUUAUGUGCCCUAUAUUUGCAUGUGCGGUAUGAGUGUGGUCUAUGACCCCUAAGGGGAUGACACUAUAAAACUGGGAGAUGGAACAUAAACAUGUGCUAUUCAGAACUUCUUAUAUAUUAGUUAAAGAAAUAGAGAAAAAUAACAUUUGCUCCUGUGGACUUUUUUUUUUUUUUUAAAUUAAGUUGGAAUCAAGUGGCUGCUAUUGGGGCACCUCUCCUUCGGGGUACGAAGGGGACAGUCCUUGUGGGGUCCCAUGUGUGAGAGGUGGAAGGUGUGUCAGGUGGACCAGUUCCUGCUGGGAGCCCCAACGCUUGAAGGAAGGAGUCUGCCUCCUUUAUAGAGGUGAGUUUCAGAGUGGUGCCGUUGUGGUCAACUGACAGGGUUUUAGGUAUUGUCCAACGGUAGGUCAUAUUGGCGUCUUGUAGUCGGCGGGUCACUGGGCCCAGAGUUCUCCUCUACUGGAGGGUGGAACUGGUCAGGUCCUGAUAGAAGGUGAGACUGUUGGAUUUGAAGUCCCUCGUUAUAAUGCAUUUAGUAAACCAAAGACUAUAACCUGGGUAUCCUUUAAGACAGGGGUGGGGAACGUCUGGCCCGUAGACCAUAUAAGGCCCGCAAAAUCAUUUGGACCAGCCCGUGGAGAGCCGGUCCUGCUGUCUGCCUUUUUUAAGCCGGUGGGGAGAUCAAAGAUAGAGUUUUCUUUUCCUCCUUUUAAGUAAAAAAAAAUAAAAUAUAGAUUUUCUCCCUGAUCCACAAUAUAGACCCUGACACAC